rnacentral:rRNA from 1 species
AGUGCGAAAUAUUAAUGUAAACGGCCGCCCUAGCGUGAGGGUGCUAAGGUAGCGAAAUUCCUUGCCUUUUGAUUGUAGGCCUGCAUGAAUGGUUUAACGAGGGUUUAGCUGUCUCUAAAUUUUUAAUUGAAAUUGUAUUGAAGGUGAAGAUACCUUCAUUUAAAAGUUAGACAAAAAGACCCCGUGCAACUUUGAAAAUUAACUUUAUUCAGGGGUAAAAGAUUUUUAGGUGGGGCGCCUAGAAAGUAAGCCUAACCUUUCUGAGUAAGAGUUUCUUUCAGGAGUUGACCCGAUUAUAUUCGAUCAUAGGAGAAGUUACGCCGGGGAUAACAGGCUAAUCCUUUAGUAGAGCUCGUAUUGGCUAAAGGGAUUGGCACCUCGAUGUUGAAUCAAGGAUGAUAGCUUCAAGGCGUAAAGGCUUUGAGAGUAGGUCUGUUCGACCUUUAAUACCCUACGUGAU